rfam:Dictyostelium discoideum AX4 chromosome 3, whole genome shotgun sequence.
CAAAAGGUUUUUUUCAAAACCACCACAAAAAAACAAAUUUAAAUUU